GUGGGUGUAGCUCAGUGGUAGAGCUCAGGAUUGUGGCUCCUGCGGUCGCGGGUUCAAGUCCCGUCAUCCACC
rnacentral:tRNA from 1 species